GAUGAACGCUGGCGGCGUGCCUAAUACAUGCAAGUCGAGCGAACGGACGAGAAGCUUGCUUCUCUGAUGUUAGCGGCGGACGGGUGAGUAACACGUGGAUAACCUACCUAUAAGACUGGGAUAACUUCGGGAAACCGUAGCUAAUACCGGAUAAUAUUUUGAACCGCAUGGUUCAAAAGUGAAAGACGGUCUUGCUGUCACUUAUAGAUGGAUCCGCGCUGCAUUAGCUAGUUGGUAAGGUAACGGCUUACCAAGGCAACGAUGCAUAGCCGACCUGAGAGGGUGAUCGGCCACAGUGGAACUGAGAAACGGUCCAGACUCCUACGGGGGGCAGGAGUAGGGAAUCUUCCGAAAGGGGGGAAAGCCUGAGGGGGCAACGCCGCGUGAGUGAUGAAGGUCUUCGGAGCGUAAAACUCUGUUAUUAGGGAAAAACAUAUGUGUAAGUAACUGUGCCCAUUGUGACGGUACCUAAUCAAAAAGCCACGGCCAACUACGU
rnacentral:rRNA from 1 species